rnacentral:rRNA from 1 species
GACGAACGCUGGCGGCGUGCCUAACACAUGCAAGUCGAGCGGGGUUGAAGCGAGGGGUAACUCGAACUUCUACCUAGCGGCGGACGGGUGAGUAACGCGUGGGCAACCUGCCUCAAGGUCUGGGAUAACAGCUCGAAAGGGCUGCUAAUACCGGAUAUGCCUAUAGCCUCGCAUGGGGCUAUGAGCAAAGGGGAAACCCGCCUUGAGAUGGGCCCGCGUCCCAUCAGCUAGUUGGUGAGGUGAAGGCUCACCAAGGCGACGACGGGUAGCCGGCCUGAGAGGGUGACCGGCCACACUGGGACUGAGACACGGCCCAGACUCCUACGGGGGGCAGCAGUGGGGAAUCUUGCACAAUGGGCGAAAGCCUGAUGCAGCGACGCCGCGUGAGCGAAGAAGGCCUUCGGGUUGUAAAGCUCUGUCUGGAGGGACGAAGAAAGUGACGGUACCUCCGGAGGAAGCCACGGCUAACUACGUG